ensembl:lncRNA
GGGACCCCCCAAAAACUCCGAGUCCCCUCGAGGUCUCAAGGCCACCGCGGUGUCCCUUUAUUUGGGGGGGUCUGCAAGGCUGGGGGCGGCACCUGGGGGUCCCCAGCUGUGCCCAGCUGUGCCCAGCUGUGCCCAGGGUCUCAGCGCUGUCCCCAAGGUGCCACACCCCAAUAAAAUCCCCCAAAAUUCCCAAGGAAUUCCCGUUUUUCCACAUUUUGGUGCCUCGAGGCCAUUCCAGGUGCGUCCCACGCCGUGCCCAGGUGCGCCAGAGUCUCUCAGGGCUGUCACACCCCAAUAAAAUCCCAAUAAAUUCCCAUUUUUCCACAUUUUGGUGCCUCGAGGCCGUUCCAGGUGUGUCUCACGCUGUCCUGGCGAUCUCCCCAGCUGUGCCAGGUGUGCCCAGGGUCUCUCAGCGAUGUCUCACCCCAUUAAAUUCCCAAUAAAUUCCCAUUUUCCCACAUUUUGGUGCCUCACGGCCGUUCCAGGUGUGUCCCACGUCGUGCCAGCUGUGCCAGGUGUGCCCAGGGUCUCUCAGCGAUGUCUCACCCCAUUAAAUUCCCAAUAAAUUCCCAAUAAAACCCCA